CCCCCUUUUCUUGAACAGGUCUUAAGUCCAAUUAUGAGAGCUGUUGGUUACAGAGACUGCAUGUCGCUACUGCUAAAGCCUACUUGGUUGAACGGGAAAGCAUACUGGCAGACACAGGUUUAAUAGACCCGGAAGAGAACCAUCCAUUUUCUGUUGUCCUGGAGACAUUCAGGAGACUUUUGUCCCAAAAGUAUCAGAACCGCACGGCUGGUACUCAGAGCUUUCUGAAGUUAAUAUUUGGGAGAGUCACAGGGUGCUGCCUCUGGGAGCUCACGCUAAACAACACAUCAGGACUGUUUCUCCAGAUGCGGGACCACCUCAGGAGUCACUCACUCACCUCAGCUGUGGGGUGCCCAUCAUUUCAGGGCAGCUGGCUUUGGGGUAUGGGGAGGAAAGCUGAGCGGUGUUUGAUUUCCUCUUGAGAAUCCACAGUCUAAUGGAGAAAAUUCUGGGAUGCCGCAAGGAAGAGACUAGGAAGAGAAUCGAAAGCUCAAGAGCAGCAGAGGACAACAGCAAGGAGCACCCCAGGGUGGGCAGGUUGAGACAAACAGCGCCUUCUACUGUUGCAGAAAAUAAAAGGUGAAAGAUGUUUA